UACAGAGGUCCCAAGCGUUGUUCGGAUUCAUUGGGCGUAAAGGGCGCGUAGGCGGCUUUAUAAGUCGGGGGUGAAAGCCUGUGGCUCAACCACAGAAUUGCCUUCGAUACUGUAGAGCUUGAGACCGGAAGAGGUAAGUGGAACUGCGAGUGUAGAGGUGAAAUUCGUAGAUAUUCGCAAGAACACCAGUGGCGAAGGCGGCUUACUGGUCCGGUUCUGACGCUGAGGCGCGAAAGCGUGGGGAGCAAACAGG
rnacentral:rRNA from 1 species